rnacentral:rRNA from 1 species
GACGAACGCUGGCGGCGCGCCUAACACAUGCAAGUCGAACGGUGAAGAGGAGCUUGCUCCUCGGAACAGUGGCGGACGGGUGAGUAACACGUGAGCAACCUGGCUCUAAGAGGGGGACAACAGUUGGAAACGACUGCUAAUACCGCAUGACGUAUCGGGAUGGCAUCUUCCUGAUACCAAAGAUUUUAUCGCUUAGAAAUGGGCUCGCGUCUGAUUAGAUAGUUGGCGGGGUAACGGCCCACCAAGUCGACGAUCAGUAGCCGGACUGAGAGGUUGAACGGCCACAUUGGGACUGAGACACGGCCCAGACUCCUACGGGAGGCAGCAGUGGGGGAUAUUGGACAAUGGGGGCAACCCUGAUCCAGCGACGCCGCGUGAGGGAAGAAGGUUUUCGGAUUGUAAACCUCUGUUGACGGAGAAAAAAAUGAUGGUAUCCGUUUAGAAAGCCACGGCUAACUACGUG